rnacentral:rRNA from 1 species
UACGUAGGUGGCAAGCGUUGUCCGGAAUUAUUGGGCGUAAAGCGCGCGCAGGUGGUUUCUUAAGUCUGAUGUGAAAGCCCACGGCUCAACCGUGGAGGGUCAUUGGAAACUGGGGAACUUGAGUGCAGGAGAGAAGAGUGGAAUUCCAGGUGUAGCGGUGAAAUGCGUAGAUAUCUGGAGGAACACCGGUGGCGAAGGCGGCGUUCUGGACUGCAACUGACACUGAGGAACGAAAGCCAGGGGAGCAAACGGG